UACGGGGGGGGCAAGCGUUGUUCGGAAUUACUGGGCGUAAAGGGCUCGUAGGCGGCCAACUAAGUCCGACGUGAAAUCCCCAGGCUUAACCUGGGGACUGCGUCGGAUACUGGAUGGCUUGAAUUCGGGAGAGGGAUGCAGAAUUCCAGGUGUAGCGGUGAAAUGCGUAGAUAUCUGGAGGAAUACCGGUGGCGAAGGCGGCAUCCUGGACCGACAUUGACGCUGAUGAGCGAAAGCUAGGGGAGCAAACGGG
rnacentral:rRNA from 1 species